GAGAGUGGCGAACGGGUGAGUAAUAUAUCGGAACGUGCCCAGUCGUGGGGGAUAACGUAUAGAAAUUUACGCUAAUACCGCAUACGAUCUACGGAUGAAAGCGGGGGAUUCGCAAGAACCUCGCGCGAUUGGAGCGGCUGAUAUCAGAUUAGGUUGUUGGUGAGGUAAAAGCUCACCAAGCCGACGAUCUGUAGCUGGUUUGAGAGAACGACCAGCCACACUGGGACUGAGACACGGCCCAUACUCCUACGGGAGGCAGCAGUGGGGAAUUUUGGACAAUGGGCGAAAGCCUGAUCCAGCAAUGCCGCGUGUGGGAAGAAGGCCUUCGGGUUGUAAACCACUUUUGUACGGAACGAAACGGUUCGCUUUAAUACAGUGGGCUAAUGACGGUACCGUAAGAAUAAGCACCGGCUAACUACGUGCCAGCAGCCGCGGUAAUACGUAGGGUGCGAGCGUUAAUCGGAAUUACUGGGCGUAAAGCGUGCGCAGG
rnacentral:rRNA from 1 species